CUACCCUUGACAUGUCCGAGAGGCUGGAGAAAUCCAGCUGUGCCCGAAAGGGAAUCGGAACACAGGUGCUGCAUGGCUGUCGUCAGCUCGUGUCGUGAGAUGUUGGGUUAAGUCCCGCAACGAGCGCAACCCUUGUCAUUAGUUGCUACAUUCAGUUGGGCACUCUAAUGAGACUGCCGGUGACAAACCGGAGGAAGGUGGGGAUGACGUCAAGUCCUCAUGGCCUUUAUGUCCAGGGCUACACACGUGCUACAAUGGCCGGUACAAACCGUCGCGAGAGCGCAAGCUGGAGCAAAUCGGAUAAAGCCGGUCUCAGUUCGGAUUGGGGUCUGCAACUCGACCCCAUGAAGCUGGAAUCGCUAGUAAUCGCGGAUCAGCACGCCGCGGUGAAUACGUUCCC
rnacentral:rRNA from 1 species